CCUACGGGGGGCUGCAGUAGGGAAUAUUGCUCAAUGGAGGAAACUCUGAAGCAGCAACGCCGCGUGGAGGAUGAAGGUUUUCGGAUUGUAAACUCCUUUUGUGAGAGAAGAUAAUGACGGUAUCUAACGAAUAAGCACCGGCUAACUCCGUGCCAGCAGCCGCGGUAAUACGUAGGGUGCAAGCGUUACUCGGAAGCACUGGGUGUAAAGAGCGCGUAGGCGGGAUAGCAAGUCAGAUGUGAAAGCCUAUGGCUUAACCAUAGAACUGCAUUUGAAACUGUUAUUCUAGAGUAUGGAAGAGGUAGCUGGAAUUCUUGGUGUAGGGGUAAAAUCCGUAGAGAUCAAGAGGAAUACUCAUUGCGAAGGCGACCGGCUAGAACAUAACUGACGCUGAUGCGCGAAAGCGUGGGGAGCAAACAGGAUUAGAUACCCUAGUAGUC
rnacentral:rRNA from 1 species